GACGAACGCUGGCGGCGUGCUUAACACAUGCAAGUCGAACGGUAAGGCCCUUCGGGGUACACGAGUGGCGAACGGGUGAGUAACACGUGGGUGAUCUGCCCUGCACUUCGGGAUAAGCCUGGGAAACUGGGUCUAAUACCGGAUAGGACCACUGCCUGCAUGGGUGGUGGUGGAAAGCUUUUGCGGUGUGGGAUGGGCCCGCGGCCUAUCAGCUUGUUGGUGGGGUGAUGGCCUACCAAGGCGACGACGGGUAGCCGGCCUGAGAGGGUGGCCGGCCACACUGGGGCGGAGAUACGGCCCAGACUCCUACGGGAGGCAGCAGUGGGGAAUAUUGCACAAUGGGCGCAAGCCUGAUGCAGCGACGCCGCGUGAGGGAUGACGGCCUUCGGGUUGUAAACCUCUUUCAGCACCGACGAAGCGCAAGUGACGGUAGGUGCAGAAGAAGGACCGGCCAACUACGUGCCAGCCGCCGCGGUAA
rnacentral:rRNA from 1 species